rnacentral:lncRNA from 1 species
GUGGAAAGAGCACUUGAGUCAGGAACUGCAUUCUGAUCCAUUUCCAGUACUAACCAGUUGUUUAGACUUCACUGUUACCUGCAUGCUGUUAGACUAAUUCUGAGUGUGCACACACUGCUAGUGAUAGCUGGGUCGUCAUGGAGGUGGUGGUGAUAGGGUGGUGGUGAUGGUAGUGGUGGUGGUGAUAGUAGAGGUGGCAGUGAUGGUAGAAAUGGUGGUGGAGGUGGUGGUGGAGAUAGACUGGUGGUGAUGGUGGUGGUGGUGGUGAUAGGGUGGUGAUGGUGGAGGUGGCAGUGAUGGUAGAAAUGGUGGUGGAGAUAGACUGGUGGUGAUGGUGGUGGUGGUGAUAGGGUAGUGAUGAUGGAGGUGGUGAUGGUGAUGGUGGUGGUGAUGGUAGAAAUGGUGGUGGAGGUGGUGGUGGAGAUAGACUGGUGGUGAUGGUGGUGGAGGUGGUGGUGGUGAUAGGGUGGUGAUGAUGGAGGUGGUGAUGGUGGUGAUGGUGGUGGUGAUGGUAGAAAUGGUGGUGGAGGAGGUGGUGGAGAUAGACUGGUGGUGAUGGUGGUGGAGGCCAGUGAAAUACAAACAGGAACAAACGAGCCCAAAUGUACUACAAAUAAGUAACAUAACAACGUGGAAGGGGGGUGAGCAAGAAAAGAACUAGCCUAACUAGCAUACUCAACUAUAACUUGACUAUCCACUCUGUCGGGGUGCUAGAGCAAAAUACCAUAGACCUGGGCAGCUGGAGCCACAAACACCUCUGCCAGUUCUGGAGGCGGGAAGUCCGAGAGGGAGGCGCCAGCAGACGGUUUUUGUAAGGACCCUCUUCUGGCUUGCAGAUGGCCACCUUCCUGUUGUGUGUUCACAUGGC